rnacentral:rRNA from 1 species
UGGGGAAUCUUGGACAAUGGGCGCAAGCCUGAUCCAGCCAUGCCGCGUGAGUGAUGAAGGCCCUAGGGUAGUAAAGCUCUUUCACCUGUGAAGAUAAUGACGGUACCAGGUAAAGAAGCCCCGGCUAACUCCGUGCCAGCAGCCGCGGUAAUACGGAGGGGGCUAGCGUUGUUCGGAAUUACUGGGCGUAAAGCGCGCGUAGGCGGAUUAGUAAGUCAGAGGUGAAAUCCCGGGGCUCAACCCCGGAACUGCCUUUGAUACUGCUAGUCUAGAGUUCGAGAGAGGUAAGUGGAAUUCCGAGUGUAGAGGUGAAAUUCGUAGAUAUUCGGAGGAACACCAGUGGCGAAGGCGGCUCCACUGGCUCGAUACUGA